rnacentral:rRNA from 1 species
GACGAACGCUGGCGGCGUGCCUAAUACAUGCAAGUCGAACGAGAGCUUCAGGUGCUUUCUCUGCUGAGUGUAUCGGCGGACGGGUGAGUAACACGUGGUUAACCUACCUAUCAGACUGGGAUAACAUCCGGAAACCGUAUCUAAUACCGCAUGAUUUUUUGAACCUCAUGGUUCAAGCGUGUAAGUAGGUAGUUGUUUCUGUUAAAGAUUGACCCGCCGGUGAAUUAUUUAGUUGGUGAGGUAACGGCUAACCAAGGCAGUGAUGCAUAGCCGCCCUGAAAGGGUGAUCGGCCACAUUGGAACUGAGACACGGCCCAAACUCCUACGGGAGGCAGCAGUAGGGAAUCUUCCGCAAUGGACGCAAGUCUGACGGAGCAACGCCGCGUGAGUGAAGAAGGUUUUCGGAUCGUAAAACUCUGUUGUUAGAGAAGAACAAAUGCUAGAGUAACUGUUAGCACCUUGACGGUACCUAACCAGAAAGCCACGGCUAACUACGUG